AUGGGAAUUUUGAUAACCGCAGUUUUGCUCUGGGCUGCCGUCGGAGUGGGAAGCCGGCCAGUAACCUCACCCCUUAAUGAUGCAAAGGUUGAAUGUAUUAUUCAGGAGACACUGAAUGAAGACGGGUCACAACAUGAGUGUGGCCCUCAGCUAGCAGAGGAACUUGAUGAGGUGCAAAGACAUCAGGGUCUGCUCAGGGAGCUGCAGAAGCUGGCUAUCGAUGAGAAAGAAAGGGAGCAAGAGGAUGAGAAGCAGCAAUAUGAGUACAACCUGGCUGACGAUGAGAGCGACUUCGAGCCGGGGGAUGAGGAGGCGAAGCAGGAGGGAGAUGUGACCAACUUUGCAAAAAAGACAGAAGACAAGACAGUGGAGGAUGACACCAAGCAGAAGAUAAUGGAGGAGCCACGGAUAGAGGACACAGGGAGGGACAAUGAAGAGGAGAGAGCCAAGGAGCUAGAGGAGCUGCUGGCUGAAGAGAUUACCAAGAAAGGGAAGGAGGAGAGGAAUGAUGAAGAGCUCAAAGAACUUCUGAAAGAGCUGAAGAAGAAACGCUACGAGGCGGUGAAGGAGAGGGAGGUCCAGAAGGGCUCAGGAGCAGAGCAGAAGGAAGAGGUGGAGGAAAAGAAGGAGAAGGAGAACAAAGAGAGGGAGCGAGAUACAGAGGAGGACUUAGAGAAGCAGAGGAUGGAGGAAAGGAGGAAGAAUGAGGUGGAGCUGAUGGUAGAGAAGGAGAAGGUGGAGAAGGAGCUAAAGGAGCUGCUCAAAGAGCAGGACAGCAAGAGCAAGCCAGAGCAGGAGAGGGAGAGGAAGGAGAAGCAGGAGGAGCUGGAAGAACUCGUCAGGAAGAUGAAACGAGUGCAGGAGGAUGAGAAGCAGGGGACGCAGGGCGGGAAGAAAGAGGACGGCAUGGACAAAAGCGCAGCGGAGGAGAAGGAGGGCGAAGAAGGAAAGGAGCCCGAUAAGAAAGCAGAGAAUGAGGUCAAAAAGAAGGAGGAGGCGGCAGAGGUGAAGGAGCCGCAGCAGAAGAGAGUGAUGGAGAAAGCGAGUGAUGAAGCCACGCAGCAGUUUGACCGGGAGAGGUACAAGGAUGAGGAAGAGGAGGAGGGCGAGGAAGAUGAGGAUGAAUUCGUCAGAGAGGAUGAGGAGGGGCAGCAAGAGGAGGAUGAUGAGGAGGGUGAUGCCGAUGAAGAUGAAGGGGAGGAGCUGCUGGAGAUUGAAGCAGAGUUGCGUAAAGUUGCUGCAGAGCUGAGGGAGCUUCGCAGAGGAUAA
rnacentral:lncRNA from 15 species